AUUUUUACUCUUACAUUUUCAAAAAAAUGUAAGUUUCAUCUAAAAAGAAUAUAAUUGAAGAAUUGCAAUAUUGAAACGUGUUAGCAAAUGUAAGAAAAUACACUACACAUAUUUAUGCAUUCCUAUAUUCGCGAGUUUUUACGUGACUAAUCUUAAGAAUAGAUAGUAUGUCGCCAAAGUGGAGUUUAGAGGAAAGUUUCAGAUUAGAGGAAUAACAGAUGAAGCGGAAGUCUUAGGGAGCGCAUCAGGUAAAAUGUUUCUAAAGAGUUUGCCGGCGUGGCGUAUCUUGCGCAGAAAAUCUGUUCCUUUACUUCUGUUUACUUUACCGCUUAUAUCUUCAAUGCGUUACAUUAAAAUCUCCUUAAACCUACUCGGUUAACGCAAGAUUAUUUCGCAUUCAAUUGUUAACGAGAUUCAGAUAUUAACUCAAAAAAUUACAAUUGUAAAUUUUGUAAGGACUGUUAUACAAAUUUGAUCUCAAAUUCGAUAACUUGUACAAAUUUAUUUACAUAAGAAAAAUAAUUAUCAAGAUUUUUAAAUAUUAUUAUUCGCUUUAUAGUUCAAUUUUUAUAAAACAUUUUAUAGUUGUAGCUUGGAGUCAAGUUAUAAAAGAAAGGCCAUUUUUAUUUAAACAAGUUUUUAUUUAAAAGUUUACACACUUGUCUGGCAUAAAGAAGAAUGUUAGAUACGUACAAUUUAUGCCUGUUAAAUAAAUAAACAAAAUCAAGUCGAAUAUCAAAGAAUUUUUAUAAUCUUGCAAUUAUUAGAAACAAGCAAAAUUGUGGUAUAUCGUUACAUCAAUCGGUAUGUUUCUUUUCUUUUUAUUAUUUUUCCUCUUUUUUUUUUCCUUAUUUUUUAAUAAAUUCUCAACACGCGACACUUUAUCACGCGUCGAAACCACAUAUAUUUCGAGUUGUAGCGUGACGCACAGAGAAACGCUUCUACACCCUUCGUGAUAAAUCACCAGAGGAAGAGAGACGGAAAGAGAGGCCACCGUCGUAAAUUCUCAAGUCUCUCCCGCCUUUUAAAUGUUAAAAAAAAAAAAAAAAAAAGAAAAAAGAAAAAUGAAAGAUCUCCAGGAUUCUCACUUAACUUCGGAUCAUUCGACGAUUUUAAAACUCUCGACAAGAUUCUAUUAAGAUAUUUUUAAUUUCGAAGACGAUCAUCUAUGAUUUAACAAGAGUAUAAUAAUUUGAAUUGAAAACGUCAAGAGAAUGAGAAUCGAAUCAAGAAUGUUUCCUGAAUUUACUAAUCUAAAAAACACAAGUAAAUUAUUUUAAUCGGAUAUCUUCAUCGCAUGACAAAAAGGAAAGUGACGAAAUUUAUCGUUGGAAAGAAGAUCGUAAAAAGAUCAGAAGAAUCGUGAAGCAACGAAUCGAGUAAAGGGAAAAUCCCUGGUUAGGGAAACAAAAGUUUUUUAGGGAUCGUGGAAAAGUUUGAUACCUCUACAUCUUUUUCUUAUUCUUCCCUUCCUUUUCAGCUGAAAUGGUUCGAUGCAAAAUCUAUAGCCGGUAAAAGGCGAUCGUGAAGCAAUAUCAGGCAUGGAAGAAACGUUGAAUUAUUCAACCCGAAGGCGAGGAAAAUGUUUUGAUUAUGCCAGGCCACGGACGCACGCACACACGUGUAUACGUGCACGGAUUCUCUGCGCGGUGGCCACGGCCGAAAUUAGUUGGAUAUUCGAAUAAUUAACGAAAAUAGCAGAGACGAGAGAGGUUUUGCGCGUUUCUAUUAUAAAAGUGAAUGCGUAGAGUUAUGUCGAGUCGAAUGAACGAUAAUGUUUGCAAAUUGGAUUUGCACGUAGAGGGAUUAAUCUCUAGUAUGAGAUUAGAUUUUUGAAAAAAGAAAGGGAAAAGUGUUGUCGAGAUUCAAUUUUCUUUUUUUUAAACGAAGCCAGAUUUCUGAACGAAAAACGAAAGAUCCUUGAGAUUGAAAGAAGGAAAAUUUUAUAAUAGUUGCUUCAAAUCUUUACUGAAUAGAGAAUUCUGAGAAAGUGAAUGGAGUUUGAUUUAAGAAAAGAAAGCGCCGAUUAUUAGAAACGAUUAAAGAAGAUUGUACUCGAAUAAUGAACGUUUCAAAAUUCCAACUUUGAAUAUCUAUUGAAAGCAAAACUUCAGAAAACUAAAAUUUAUCCAUGGAAAAAAAAUUGAAAGUGAUUUAUAGAAGAUAAAUAUGUCUAUUGAUCUGUUCUGCAAAUAUCGUUGUGCGAAAUAAAAGAAUAAUAAUAUAAAAAUGAGAAACAAAUUAUUGUCAGAAAAUCUACAACAUGAUGAAUUGAAUUAAAUAAUUAAAGGAUGAUGGUAGUCCAAGCAACGUGAUUGCACGAACGAUUCAAUUGAUCAACUUUUUUAAAUUACAUGGAUCUCGUUAGAGUUGAAAACUUUCGAGAUACUGAGAUCGCGGAAGGUCUAGAAAUAGAUUGCCGCUUCUGUAAUUCUGAAUGGGAUAAAGCUGUAAAAGUCGGCUCAAAAUAAAAAUUGAUUUUACCAUUAAGAAAUUAAUAUCGAAAUUAUUCAACUCAAUUCAAAAACAGCUAUAUUUUAAUCCUUCUAUUUCAUCAUUUAAAUAUUUAAUAAAAUUGAACUUUUCUUUUCACGCACAAAUUUGAUGAUUUGCACUUCUUGAUCAAACUAACAUAUAUCUCAUAGCUAACACAGAGGAUAUUUUAAAUAAUUAAAAAAGAAUAAAUCUUCUCGGCUGUGUGUUUAUUGAAUUUAAAAGAUUUAAAAAACAAACUAUCUCAUUAUAAACCGUUUUCCAAUCUAUAAUUGCAUUCAAUAUUUGAAUACAUAUUUUUCCAUAUAUAAUUCAUGUAAGUGCAAUAAAGAAGAUUGCAAUAAAAAUAUUUCUAGAAAAUCAAAUCUACUCGCUUGGAUAUUUCAUGAACGAAAAUUAUUCGAAAUACAAUAGCAUGGCAUAUUUUUACAUAUUCGAAAACAAAUGAGAAAUCGAGUGAGCGUGUUUACACACGCGGACAAUAUUCUAAAUCAGCCAAUUCUAAUUACGAAUUCGUAGUGCUACCAUUCAAAUUAGAUUCGCACGAUUUUCAUGGCUGGAAACGUGUGUUAGAAUCAGGAACAACCAUCGAAAGCGAUCGCGUUUGUCACGAAUCGUUCUUGCAAUUUAUAUAGAUAAACGGAAUCGUCCGUAAUGUGAACAGCUUCGAGAAAAUUCGAUUGAAUAAUCGAUAAAAGAAAUUUUUCAUUGACGAAUACUAAAUUGAUAAAAAGAAAAAUAACAUUGAAAUUAAAAAAAAAAAAUUAGUAGAUCAUUCUUAAUAUGAAACAAUCCAUAAUCUUUAAGAAUUACAGUAUAUUAAAAAAAAGAUUGAAUUAAAGAUAUCUAUUUUUGCAUUUUAGAUAUAUGUAAUUGAUUGUAUGAUUUAAAAAGAAGAAAGGGAAUAAUAAAAUAUUCCAAAUUGAAUCGAGCAGGUGACAUUGUGUAACGCGUGCUCUACGCGUGCUCUACGUGUGCUCUACGCUCCGUGUUUAUCGACCGUACCACAAACUCUCCCAAAAAGAUACGGGGUGUGGUCAGAAAAUUUUCUUUUUUUCCGUAUGCAUGAUUUACGAAUCAAAAAAAAUUUCGUGACUUUAAGUCGAGGUUAUUCAAAAUCACGAAUGAUACAAGAUGAACGAUAUAUCGAUACUCUAUUGAAACUAUUUAUCGAGUAUCAAAACUCUCCUAACCUAGAAAAAAUCGUAUGACGUUUUAACUUAUUUCAUCAUUCGAUAAUCAAAAUUUUAUCAAGAAACUAAACUAUCGAAUAAUUUUUAAUGAGAAUAAUUUAAUAAAUAGUAAUAACACAUUUCAAAAAUAGUAAUUAAAAGUUAUAAAUAUUAAUAAAAAUAGUAUUGAAACGUGACUUUCUUGCUAUAGAAUAUAGCAUCGAACGAAUAAACUGUAUUGCAGAAAUAGGCGAUCGAAGGGAAGGAAACAAAAUGCUGGCGAGAUCUAGUGACUUUUAGGAACAACGUCAUGCAAGACUGCAACCACCUGCCGUUACACAGUCGAACACGAGAGAAUAUCGUUGAACAAUAAAAAGAAAGUAGCCGAUCGAAUAAGGAUAUACAGGCGAAAGAAAAGACGGAAAAACAGAUAAACGAAUGAAAAAAAGAGAGAUGACGAACAAAAUGAAGAGAGAAAAGGAGCAAAAGUGUGAGAAAGAGGUCGAAGGAGGGGGAUGAAGGUAAAAAGCGGCGCGACGACAUCGUAUUGAUUUGAUGACAGAUCCGCGUACGAUGCGGAUGCCUCGUUUUCGACGGUGAGACCACCACGACGGCACAAGGCACGAUAGCAAGCGCCCUGACGCUUUAUAUAUAGAGCCUGAGCCACAAGCAGACAGGCCGUGCUUAAAUAUAGACGAAAUGCAACGGGGUGUCUCCCGCGUGUGAGCAAGGGACAUGAAACGAUGAGAUAAA
rnacentral:lncRNA from 1 species